UACGUAGGUGACCAGCGUUGUCCGGAUUUACUGGGCGUAAAGAGCGCGCAGGCGGUCGUUCAAGUCGAGUGUGAAAGCCCCCGGCUCAACUGGGGAGGGUCACUCGAUACUGAUCGACUUGAAGGCAGGAGAGGGAAGCGGAAUUCCCGGUGUAGUGGUGAAAUGCGUAGAUAUCGUUUGGAACGCCAAUGGUGAAAACAGACAGCUGGGAGUGUGCUGACGCUGAGACACGAAAGCCAGGGGAGCGAACGGG
rnacentral:rRNA from 1 species